UACGGAGGGUGCAAGCGUUGUCCGGAAUCACUGGGCGUAAAGGGCGCGUAGGUGGCCUGAUAAGGGUGUGGUGAAAGUCCGGGGCUCAACCCCGGAUCUGCCGUGCCGACUGUUGGGCUGGAGUACUGUAGGGGCAGGCGGAAUUCCGGGUGUAGCGGUGGAAUGCGUAGAGAUCCGGAAGAACACCAGUGGCGAAGGCGGCCCGCUGGGCAGUGGCUGACGCUGAGGCGCGAAAGCGUGGGGAGCAAACAGG
rnacentral:rRNA from 1 species